GGGGUAUUCCAGCCAUUCCAAUUGUUCCCAGACUGUUGCAUGUGCAAGCCUGCCACUUCUCCAUUCUCUGUGUUCCUGCUCUGUUGCCUCUCUUCAUGUGUAUUUUUCAGCAUGUUGUUGGUGUUGGUGUAGUGUGAGUGUGCCUUUUUGAAGGCAUCCCACACUUUUUUCCAACUCUGCAUGGAGGAUGGAGUACUAAGCAAGGUUUCCUUCCUUUCUUUCUUCUUGCAGGGACCCUGAAGAAUGAGAUUGAACUGCUGGCAUGUGUUCUUAACACGUGUAUCAGAGGAGCUCCAGGCACAAGGCAGUGCAAGAAGACCUACAGAUAUUUUCUACAGGGGAAGAUGCUUGGGAGAUUUUGAGGAUGGCUAUUCCAGCAAUGCCAGUUUCCUCCCAAACAGC
ensembl:lncRNA